GCGCAGUGGAAGCGUGGACGCUUCGCUUUUGAUAUGUAAAGUUUGGGAACCUUUGAUGUAUAUUUGAUAUAAAUAUCUUGAAAUUCCAUUGAGGAUUGUAGUGAACGACUGAGUCCCGGCGAGAGUUGGGCAGGCGGCCCGCCGAACCCUCUGGUUCGCCUUAGGGGGAGGUGGGGCCGUGACAAUUGGUAUCAGAGCUUAGGCUUCAGAUCUCUGUAGUGUAUCCUAGGCUUGAAGUUUAGGAUGCCGGACCGUGGGUUUGAUUUGACUCU
rnacentral:lncRNA from 1 species